UACGGAGGGGGCUAGCGUUGUUCGGAAUUACUGGGCGUAAAGCGCACGUAGGCAGAUAUUUAAGUCAGGGGUGAAAUCCCGGGGCUCAACCCCGGAACUGCCUUUGAUACUGGGUAUCUGGAGGUCGAGAGAGGCGAGUGGAAUUCCGAGUGUAGAGGUGAAAUUCGUAGAUAUCAGGAGGAACACCAGUGGCGAAGGCGGCUUCCUGGACACCAACUGACGCUGAGACGCGAAAGCGUGGGGAGCAAACAGG
rnacentral:rRNA from 1 species